rnacentral:rRNA from 1 species
UACGUAGGGUGCGAGCGUUGUCCGGAAUUAUUGGGCGUAAAGAGCUCGUAGGCGGUGUGUCGCGUCUGCUGUGAAAACUCAGGGCUCAACUCUGAGCUUGCAGUGGGUACGGGCACACUUGAGUGCUGUAGGGGAGACUGGAAUUCCUGGUGUAGCGGUGAAAUGCGCAGAUAUCAGGAGGAACACCGGUGGCGAAGGCGGGUCUCUGGGCAGUUACUGACGCUGAGGAGCGAAAGCAUGGGGAGCGAACAGG